rnacentral:rRNA from 1 species
AGCAUAUCCAAUAAGCGGAGGAAAAGAAACUAACAAGGAUUCCCCUAGUAACUGCGAGUGAAGCGGGAAAAGCUCAAAUUUAAAAUCUGGCAGUCUUUGGCUGUCCGAGUUGUAAUCUAGAGAAGUGUUAUCCGCGCUGGACCGUGUACAAGUCUCCUGGAAUGGAGCGUCAUAGAGGGUGAGAAUCCCGUCUUUGACACGGACUGCCAGGGCUUUGUGAUGCGCUCUCAAAGAGUCGAGUUGUUUGGGAAUGCAGCUCAAAAUGGGUGGUAAAUUCCAUCUAAAGCUAAAUAUUGGCGAGAGACCGAUAGCGAACAAGUACCGUGAGGGAAAGAUGAAAAGAACUUUGGAAAGAGAGUUAAACAGUACGUGAAAUUGCUGAAAGGGAAACGCUUGAAGUCAGUCGCAUUGUGUGGGAAUCAACCUUGCUUUUGCUGGGCGUAUUUUCCAUAUGAUGGGUCAGCAUCAAUUUUGACCGUUGGAUAAAGUUCAAGGGAAUGUGGCAUCUUCGGAUGUGUUAUAGCCUUUGGUCGUAUACAACGAUUGGGAUUGAGGAACUCAGCACGCCGAAAGGCCGGGUCUUGUACCACGUUCGUGCUUAGGAUGCUGGCAUAAUGGCUUUAAUCGACCCGUCUUGAAACACGGACCAAGGAGUCUAACAUGCCUGCGAGUAUUUGGGUGAAAAACCCGAGUGCGUAAUGAAAGUGAAAGUUGAGAUCCCUGUCAUGGGGAGCAUCGACGCCCGGACCAGACCUUUUGUGACGGAUCUGCGGUAGAGCAUGUAUGUUGGGACCCGAAAGAUGGUGAACUAUGCCUGAAUAGGGUGAAGCCAGAGGAAACUCUGGUGGAGGCUCGUAGCGAUUCUGACGUGCAAAUCGAUCGUCAAAUUUGGGUAUAGGGGCGAAAGACUAAUCGAACCAUCUAGUAGCUG